rnacentral:rRNA from 1 species
AUGGAGGCGGGGGCGGGGGCGUACUACGCGGCGGCGCCGCACCAGGGCGCGAUGCCGGGGUUCGGCGGGGCGGUGGACGAGCAGCAGGCGGCGGGGGUGGGGAUCCUGCUGCAGAUAUCCAUGCUGGUGCUCUCCUUCGUGCUCGGCCACCUCCUCCGCCGCCGCAAGUUCUACUACCUGCCCGAGGCCAGCGCAUCCCUCCUCAUCGGAAUGAUUGUUGGAGGGUUUGCUAACAUAUCAAACACUCAGAAAAGUACUAGGAGAUGGUUCAAUUUUCGGGAGGACUUCUUCCUUCUCUUUUUGCUUCCUCCAAUUAUAUUUCAGUCAGGGUUCAACUUAGCACCAAAACCAUUCUUUUCAAACUUCGGUGCCAUCAUAACUUUCGCAAUCCUGGGAACCUUCAUUGCUUCCAUUGUGACGGGUCUUCUAGUCUACCUUGCUGGGUUAAUAUUCAUCAUCUAUAGGUUGCCUCUGGUCGAAUGUAUGAUGUUUGGUGCUCUUGUGUCGGCAACAGAUCCUGUAACUGUUUUGUCUAUAUUUCAGGAACUUGGCACCGAUGUGAACCUCUAUGCUCUUGUUUUUGGAGAAUCGGUUCUAAAUGAUGCUGUGGCUAUAUCCUUGUACAGGACCAUGGCAUCAAUGAGGACAAGUUCUUCCGGACAGAAUAUUUUCCUAGUUAUCUUGAGGUUUCUUGAGAACUUUGUUGGUUCUAUGUCAUCAGGCGUUGGAGUUGGGCUUAUUUCUGCUCUCCUCUUCAAGUAUGCAGAACUUGGCGUAGAGAACUUACAUAAUCUGGAGAGCUGCUUGUUUGUGCUUUUCCCUUACUUCUCGUACAUGUUAGCUGAAGGCCUUGGCCUGUCUGGCAUUGUUUCUAUUCUCUUUACCGGGAUUGUGAUGAAGAGAUACACAUUUUAUAACUUGUCAGAAGAUUCUCAGCGUUUUACUGCUCGUUUUUUCCAUUUGCUUUCAUCACUAGCAGAAGCAUUCAUAUUCAUAUACAUGGGGUUCGAUAUUGCAAUGGAACGUCAAAGCUGGUCUCAUAUUGGAUUCAUAUUUUUCUCAAUUGUUUUCAUAUUAGUUGCAAGGGCUGCAAAUGUCUUCUCUUGUGCAUACAUGUUGAAUUUGGCACGACCACCAAAUUCCCAAAUACCUAGGGAAUAUCAGCUGGCCCUCUGGUAUAGCGGACUUAGAGGAGCUAUGGCUUUUGCCCUUGCUCUUCAGUCAGUUCAUGAUCUUCCUGACGGGCAUGGGGAGACAAUUUUCACCGCUACGACAUCUAUUGUUGUUCUAACUGUACUUCUGAUCGGAGGUUCAACUGGAACAAUGCUCGAAGCCCUACAAGUAGUCGGGGAUAGUAACCGUUAUCGGCACCCGUACGAGGAGAAUUUUGAGGGAAGCAGUGAGGAAGGGACACCUAGUAAGAGCAAAUUCCAAUUGAAACUCAGAGAUCUCCGGAGAAGCACUUCCUCUUUUGCUUUAUUGGACAGGAAUUAUCUCACUCCCAUUUUUACCUCUCAACACGAGGACGAUGAUGAUGAUGACGACAACGAUGAUGAUUCUUCAGGUGAAGUGUUGGGGAUACCCAGGCCCAGCGCCUAG